rnacentral:rRNA from 1 species
UACGGAGGGAGCUAGCGUUGUUCGGAAUUACUGGGCGUAAAGCGCGCGUAGGCGGCUUUGUAAGUUAGAGGUGAAAGCCCGGGGCUCAACCCCGGAAUUGCCUUUAAGACUGCAUCGCUUGAAUCCGGGAGAGGUGAGUGGAAUUCCCGGUGUAGUGGUGAAAUGCGUAGAUAUCGGGAGGAACACCAGUGGCGAAGGCGACUACCUGGCCUGUUCUUGACGCUGAGGCGCGAAAGCUAGGGGAGCAAACGGG